UGCAGUCGAGCGGAACGAUGGGAGCUUGCUCCCAGGCGUCGAGCGGCGGACGGGUGAGUAACGCGUGGGAAUCUAUCCAGUAGCGGGGGAUAGCCCGAGGAAACUCGGAUUAAUACCGCAUACGCCCUCAGGGGGAAAGCAGGGGAUCUUCGGACCUUGCACUAUUGGAUGAGCCCGCGUCGGAUUAGCUAGUUGGUGGGGUAAAGGCCUACCAAGGCGACGAUCCGUAGCUGGUCUGAGAGCAUGAUCAGCCACACUGGAACUGAGACACGGUCCAGACUCCUACGGGAGGCAGCAGUGGGGAAUAUUGCGCAAUGGGGGAAACCCUGACGCAGCCAUGCCGCGUGUGUGAAGAAGGCCUUAGGGUUGUAAAGCACUUUCAGUAGGGAGGAAAGGUGUAAGGUUAAUAACCUUGCACUGUGACGUUACCUACAGAAGAAGCACCGGCUAACUUCGUGCCAGCAGCCGCGGUAAUACGAGGGGUGCAAGCGUUAAUCGGAAUGACUGGGCGUAAAGCGCGCGUAGGUGGUUUGUUAAGUUGGAUGUGAAAGCCCAGGGCUCAACCUUGGAAUUGCAUCCAAAACUAGCAGACUAGAGUACAGUAGAGGGGGGUAGAAUUUCAGGUGUAGCGGUGAAAUGCGUAGAGAUCUGAAGGAAUACCAGUGGCGAAGGCGGCCCCCUGGACUGAUACUGACACUGAAGUGCGAAAGCGUGGGGAGCGAACAGGAUUAGAUACCCUGGUAGUCCACGCCGUAAACGAUGUC
rnacentral:rRNA from 1 species